rnacentral:rRNA from 1 species
GACGAACGCUGGCGGCGUGCUUAACACAUGCAAGUCGAACGGUGAAGCGAGUGCUUGCACUCGUGGAUCAGUGGCGAACGGGUGAGUAACACGUGAGUAACCUGCCCAUCACUCUGGGAUAAGCACUGGAAACGGUGUCUAAUACUGGAUACGACCAACCCUCGCAUGGGGUGUUGGUGGAAAGAUUUAUCGGUGAUGGAUGGACUCGCGGCCUAUCAGCUUGUUGGCGGGGUAAUGGCCCACCAAGGCGACGACGGGUAGCCGGCCUGAGAGGGUGACCGGACACACUGGGACUGAGACACGGCCCAGACUCCUACGGGAGGCAGCAGUGGGGAAGAUUGCACAAUGGGCGAAAGCCUGAUGCAGCGACGCCGCGUGGGGGAUGACGGCCUUCGGGUUGUAAACCUCUUUCAGCAGGGAAGAAGCGAAAGUGACGGUACCUGCAGAAGAAGCACCGGCUAACUACGUG